rnacentral:rRNA from 1 species
AAUCAACGCUGGUGGCGUGCCUAACACAUGCAAGUCGAGCGAGAAAAGGGGAGCAAUCCCCUGAGUACAGCGGCGCACGGGUGAGUAACACGUGGGUAAUCUGCCCUGGAGUGGGGAAUAACACCGGGAAACCGGUGCUAAUACCGCAUACGAUCACAGAGUCUGCGGAUUUUGUGAUGAAAGGAGCAAUUCGCUCUAGGAGGAGCCCGCGGCUGAUUAGCUAGUUGGUGAGGUAAUGGCUCACCAAGGCAACGAUCAGUAUCCGGUCUGAGAGGACGGUCGGACACACUGGAACGGAGACACGGUCCAGACUCCUACGGGAGGCAGCAGUGGGGAAUUUUUGGCAAUGGGGGCAACCCUGACCAAGCAACGCCGCGUGGGGGAUGAAGUCUCUUGGGACGUAAAACCCUUUCGACGGGGACGAAAGCCGCAAGGUUUGACGGUACCCGUAGAAGAAGCCCCGGCUAACUCCGUGCCAGCCGCCGCCGUAAAAC